UAGGGUGUGUGAAGGGAGGUCACAGAAGAUGAAGAUGAACCCCAGGACCUCAAAUGACAGGCCUUGGUAAUUGCAGGCCCUGAACAGAAUGUGAAGCUUUGCCUAGCACCACAUGGGAGGCUAACUGUCUCCACGAUUCCUGAAGCCAAC